UACGUAGGCACCAAGCGUUGUCCGGAUUUAUUGGGCGUAAAGAGCGUGUAGGCGGCCAGACAGGUCCACUGUGAAAACUCGAGGCUCAACCUCGAGAGGUCGGUGGAAACCGUCUGGCUAGAGUCCGGAAGAGGAGAGUGGAAUUCCCGGUGUAGCGGUGAAAUGCGCAGAUAUCGGGAAGAACACCCGUGGCGAAGGCGGCUCUCUGGGACGGUACUGACGCUGAGACGCGAAAGCGUGGGGAGCGAACAGG
rnacentral:rRNA from 1 species